CAGUCGAACGGAGAUUAUACGCAGAGGCGAUUUCGGUCAAAUCAUGUGUAAUCUUAGUGGCGGACGGGUGAGUAACGCGUGGGUAACCUGCCUUACACUGGGGGAUAACACUUAGAAAUAGGUGCUAACACCGCAUAAGCGCACGAAGCCGCAUGGAUUUGUGUGAAAAACUCCGGUGGUGUAAGAUGGACCCGCGUCCGAUUAGCUUGUUGGCGGGGUAACGGCCCACCAAGGCGACGAUCAGUAGCCGGCCUGAGAGGGUGGACGGCCACAUUGGGACUGAGACACGGCCCAAACUCCUACGGGAGGCAGCAGUGGGGGAUAUUGGACAAUGGGGGAAACCCUGAUGCAGCGACGCCGCGUGAGUGAAGAAGUAUCUCGGUAUGUAAAGCUCUAUCAGCAGGAAAGAUAAUGACGGUACCUGACUAAGAAGCCCCGGCUAACUACGUGCCAGCAGCCGCGGUAAUACGUAGGGGGCAAGCGUUAUCCGGAUUUACUGGGUGUAAAGGGAGC
rnacentral:rRNA from 1 species